GUUAAUUGCAUCAGUUAAAGUUCGUACAACACAGAAGACACUUGAAGCAGCCAUUCAUUUUGUGAUCCUCUGUAGAAAGCGUUGUCUUUUCACUCUGUUUCAACAUAUUCAUCGUGGUGUGGAAUAAAGCAGCAUUCUCCCACAA